GUGGGGAAUAUUGGACAAUGGGGGGAACCCUGAUCCAGCCAUGCCGCGUGUGUGAAGAAGGCCUUUUGGUUGUAAAGCACUUUAAGCGAGGAGGAGGCUACCGAGAUUAAUACUCUUGGAUAGUGGACGUUACUCGCAGAAUAAGCACCGGCUAACUCUGUGCCAGCAGCCGCGGUAAUACAGAGGGUGCGAGCGUUAAUCGGAUUUACUGGGCGUAAAGCGUGCGUAGGCGGCUUUUUAAGUCGGAUGUGAAAUCCCCGAGCUUAACUUGGGAAUUGCAUUCGAUACUGGGAAGCUAGAGUAUGGGAGAGGAUGGUAGAAUUCCAGGUGUAGCGGUGAAAUGCGUAGAGAUCUGGAGGAAUACCGAUGGCGAAGGCAGCCAUCUGGCCUAAUACUGACACUGAGGUGCGAAAGCAUGGGGAGCAAACAGGAUUAGAAACCCGAGUAGUCC
rnacentral:rRNA from 1 species